rnacentral:misc_RNA from 1 species
UGCGAGAUCGAGCUGCGCCAGG